rnacentral:rRNA from 1 species
AGUGAACGCUGGCGGUGUGCCUAAUACAUGCAAGUCGAACGACCACACAGUAAGCGCUUGCCCUUAACGGUGGCGAGUGGCGGGCGGGUGACGCAUGCAUAAGAUUCCUCUAUUUCGUGGGGGACUACGUAGGGCAACUUAUGCUAAUACAGCAUAUGACCUACGGCAGAAAGCAGGAGUUCUUCGCACCUUUCGUGAUUCUAAGAGCCGGUUCCGGGUCGCAUUAGCUAGUUGGUAAGGUAACGGCUUACCAAGGCGACGAUGCGUAGCCGAGCUGAGAGGGUGAUCAGCCACACUGGAACUGAGACACGGUCCAGACUCCUACGGGAGGCAGCAGUGGGGAAUAUUCGACAAUGGGCGCAAGCCUGACGCAGCCACGCCGCGUGGGUGAUGAAGGCCUUCGGAUUGUAAAGCUCUGUUGUUAGGGAAGAACAGCAGUAUAUGAAAAUAUCGCUGUUUUGACGGUACCUAAAGAGUAAGCACCGGCUAACUACGUG